rnacentral:rRNA from 1 species
GUACACGCUGUGACUAGCAUAUCAAUAAGCGGAGGAAAAGAAACUAACAAGGAUUCCCUCAGUAACGGCGAGUGAAGCGGGAAGAGCUCAAAUUUGAAAUCUUGAAAGGUCACCUUUCACGAAUUGUAGUUUAAAGAAGUGUUUUCUGUUACGAUCGUAAUAUAAGUUCUUUGGAAUAGGACAUCACAGAGGGUGAGAAUCCCGUCUAUGAUUGCGAUUUGUAGCUUUGUGAUACACUUUCAAAGAGUCGGGUUGUUUGGGAAUGCAGCCCAAAACGGGAGGUAAAUUUCUUCUAAGGCUAAAUAUUGGCGAGAGACCGAUAGCGAACAAGUACCGUGAGGGAAAGAUGAAAAGAACUUUGAAAAGAGAGUUAAACAGUACGUGAAAUUGUCAAAAGGGAAGCGUUUGACACCAGUGUUGUUUUCUCGAAAAUCAAUUAAAAAUGGCUCGAUUUUGCAUUGCUGAGACCUUAAAAGCUCACUGUACAUUUUUCGUGUCUUUUUUAAUGCACUUUUCGUUUAACAAGUCAACAUCAGUUUCUUUUGUUGUAAAAGGGUCAUUGGAAGGUGGCUUUCUUUUCGGAGAAAGUGUUUAUAGCCAUUGGCCUCUGCAAUCGGAGAGACUGAGGUCUGCAGCGUAGACUCUUCGGGGUUAGAUACAUUUGUGCUAAGUUAUAACUUUUUAUAGACAACUUGUUGACUAUAGUUAGUCAUUGUAGCUUACUCGCUUAUGCUAUUUUACCUACGCUUAGGAUGUUGACGCAUGAGAUAUACGC